rnacentral:rRNA from 1 species
GUGUCAGCCGCCGCGGUAAUACGGAGGGUGCAAGCGUUAUCCGGAUUCAUUGGGUUUAAAGGGUGCGCAGGCGGAUUAUUAAGUCAGUGGUGAAAUCCCGGGGCUCAACCUCGGAACUGCCAUUGAUACUGAUAAUCUGGAAUACGGUUGAAGUGGGCGGAAUGUAGCAUGUAGCGGUGAAAUGCAUAGAGAUGCUACAGAACACCGAUCGCGAAGGCAGCUCACUAAGCCGAUAUUGACGCUCAGGCACGAAAGCGUGGGGAGCGAACAGGAUUAGAUACCCUGGUAGUCCACGCCGUAAACGAUGAUAACCCGUUGUUGGCGAUAUACAGUCAGCGACUAAGCGAAAGCGAUAAGUUAUCCACCUGGGGAGUACGAUCGCAAGGUUGAAACUCAAAGGAAUUGACGG